rnacentral:rRNA from 1 species
AGCGUACACGGUGGAUGCCCUGGCAGUCAGAGGCGAUGAAGGACGUGCUAAUCUGCGAUAAGCGUCGGUAAGGUGAUAUGAACCGUUAUAACCGGCGAUUUCCGAAUGGGGAAACCCAGUGUGUUUCGACACACUAUCAUUAACUGAAUCCAUAGGUUAAUGAGGCGAACCGGGGGAACUGAAACAUCUAAGUACCCCGAGGAAAAGAAAUCAACCGAGAUUCCCCCAGUAGCGGCGAGCGAACGGGGAAGAGCCCAGAGCCUGAAUCAGUGUGUGUGUUAGUGGAAGCGUCUGGAAAGGCGCGCGAUACAGGGUGACAGCCCCGUACACAAAAAUGCACAUAUUGUGAGCUCGAUGAGUAGGGCGGGACACGUGGUAUCCUGUCUGAAUAUGGGGGGCCCAUCCUCCAAGGCUAAAUACUCCUGACUGACCGAUAGUGAACCAGUACCGUGAGGGAAAGGCGAAAAGAACCCCGGCGAGGGGAGUGAAAAAGAACCUGAAACCGUGUACGUACAAGCAGUGGGAGCACGCUUAGGCGUGUGACUGCGUACCUUUUGUAUAAUGGGUCAGCGACUUAUAUUCUGUAGCAAGGUUAACCGAAUAGGGGAGCCGAAGGGAAACCGAGUCUUAACUGGGCGUUAAGUUGCAGGGUAUAGACCCGAAACCCGGUGAUCUAGCCAUGGGCAGGUUGAAGGUUGGGUAACACUAACUGGAGGACCGAACCGACUAAUGUUGAAAAAUUAGCGGAUGACUUGUGGCUGGGGGUGAAAGGCCAAUCAAACCGGGAGAUAGCUGGUUCUCCCCGAAAGCUAUUUAGGUAGCGCCUCGUGAAUUCAUCUCCGGGGGUAGAGCACUGUUUCGGCAAGGGGGUCAUCCCGACUUACCAACCCGAUGCAAACUGCGAAUACCGGAGAAUGUUAUCACGGGAGACACACGGCGGGUGCUAACGUCCGUCGUGAAGAGGGAAACAACCCAGACCGCCAGCUAAGGUCCCAAAGUCAUGGUUAAGUGGGAAACGAUGUGGGAAGGCCCAGACAGCCAGGAUGUUGGCUUAGAAGCAGCCAUCAUUUAAAGAAAGCGUAAUAGCUCACUGGUCGAGUCGGCCUGCGCGGAAGAUGUAACGGGGCUAAACCAUGCACCGAAGCUGCGGCAGCGACGCUUAUGCGUUGUUGGGUAGGGGAGCGUUCUGUAAGCCUGCGAAGGUGUGCUGUGAGGCAUGCUGGAGGUAUCAGAAGUGCGAAUGCUGACAUAAGUAACGAUAAAGCGGGUGAAAAGCCCGCUCGCCGGAAGACCAAGGGUUCCUGUCCAACGUUAAUCGGGGCAGGGUGAGUCGACCCCUAAGGCGAGGCCGAAAGGCGUAGUCGAUGGGAAACAGGUUAAUAUUCCUGUACUUGGUGUUACUGCGAAGGGGGGACGGAGAAGGCUAUGUUGGCCGGGCGACGGUUGUCCCGGUUUAAGCGUGUAGGCUGGUUUUCCAGGCAAAUCCGGAAAAUCAAGGCUGAGGCGUGAUGACGAGGCACUACGGUGCUGAAGCAACAAAUGCCCUGCUUCCAGGAAAAGCCUCUAAGCAUCAGGUAACAUCAAAUCGUACCCCAAACCGACACAGGUGGUCAGGUAGAGAAUACCAAGGCGCUUGAGAGAACUCGGGUGAAGGAACUAGGCAAAAUGGUGCCGUAACUUCGGGAGAAGGCACGCUGAUAUGUAGGUGAAGUCCCUUGCGGAUGGAGCUGAAAUCAGUCGAAGAUACCAGCUGGCUGCAACUGUUUAUUAAAAACACAGCACUGUGCAAACACGAAAGUGGACGUAUACGGUGUGACGCCUGCCCGGUGCCGGAAGGUUAAUUGAUGGGGUCAGCGCAAGCGAAGCUCUUGAUCGAAGCCCCGGUAAACGGCGGCCGUAACUAUAACGGUCCUAAGGUAGCGAAAUUCCUUGUCGGGUAAGUUCCGACCUGCACGAAUGGCGUAAUGAUGGCCAGGCUGUCUCCACCCGAGACUCAGUGAAAUUGAACUCGCUGUGAAGAUGCAGUGUACCCGCGGCAAGACGGAAAGACCCCGUGAACCUUUACUAUAGCUUGACACUGAACAUUGAGCCUUGAUGUGUAGGAUAGGUGGGAGGCUUUGAAGUGUGGACGCCAGUCUGCAUGGAGCCGGCCUUGAAAUACCACCCUUUAAUGUUUGAUGUUCUAACGUGGACCCGUGAUCCGGGUUGCGGACAGUGUCUGGUGGGUAGUUUGACUGGGGCGGUCUCCUCCUAAAGAGUAACGGAGGAGCACGAAGGUUGGCUAAUCCUGGUCGGACAUCAGGAGGUUAGUGCAAUGGCAUAAGCCAGCUUGACUGCGAGCGUGACGGCGCGAGCAGGUGCGAAAGCAGGUCAUAGUGAUCCGGUGGUUCUGAAUGGAAGGGCCAUCGCUCAACGGAUAAAAGGUACUCCGGGGAUAACAGGCUGAUACCGCCCAAGAGUUCAUAUCGACGGCGGUGUUUGGCACCUCGAUGUCGGCUCAUCACAUCCUGGGGCUGAAGUAGGUCCCAAGGGUAUGGCUGUUCGCCAUUUAAAGUGGUACGCGAGCUGGGUUUAGAACGUCGUGAGACAGUUCGGUCCCUAUCUGCCGUGGGCGCUGGAGAACUGAGGGGGGCUGCUCCUAGUACGAGAGGACCGGAGUGGACGCAUCACUGGUGUUCGGGUUGUCAUGCCAAUGGCACUGCCCGGUAGCUAAAUGCGGAAGAGAUAAGUGCUGAAAGCAUCUAAGCACGAAACUUGCCCCGAGAUGAGUUCU